rnacentral:rRNA from 1 species
UUAUACGAUUAAAAUGUUGAGAAUGCCUGAUCUUUGUCUGAUCUCAGAAGCUAAGCGGGGUUGGACCUGGUUUGGGUGAGAGACUGCUGGGAAUAACAGGUGUUGUAGUGG